rnacentral:rRNA from 1 species
CCUACGGGUGGCAGCAGUAGGGAAUCUUCGGCAAUGGACGCAAGUCUGACCGAGCAACGCCGCGUGAGUGAGGAAGGUCUUCGGAUCGUAAAACUCUGUUGCCAAGGAAGAACAACUAGAGAGUCACUAUCUCUAGCGUGACGGUACUUGAGAAGAAAGCCCCGGCUAACUACGUGCCAGCAGCCGCGGUAAUACGUAGGGGGCAAGCGUUGUCCGGAAUUAUUGGGCGUAAAGCGCGCGCAGGCGGUUUUCUAAGUCUGAUGUAUAAUCUCUCGGCUCAACUGAGAGUGGCAUUGGAAACUGGGAGACUAGAGUGCAGAAGAGGAAAGUGGAAUUCCACGUGUAGCGGUGAAAUGCGUAGAGAUGUGGAGGAACACCAGUGGCGAAGGCGACUUUCUGGUCUGUAACUGACGCUGAGGCGCGAAAGCGUGGGGAGCAAACAGGAUUAGAUACCCCUGUAGUC